GAUGAACGCUAGCGGCAGGCUUAAUACAUGCAAGUCGAGGGGCAGCAGGGGUGUAGCAAUACACUCGCUGGCGACCGGCAAACGGGUGCGGAACACGUACGCAACUUACCCAUAACUGGGGGAUAGCCCGGGGAAACCCGGCUUAAUACCUCGUAACAUAGUUGAGUGGCAUCCCUUAACCAUUAUAGCUCCGGCGGUUAUGGAUGGGCGUGCGCCUGAUUAGGUAGUUGGCGGGGUAACGGCCCACCAAGCCUGCGAUCAGUAACUGGUGUGAAAGCACGGCCAGGGUGACGGGCACGGGGCCACGGGCCCGAGUCCUGCGGGAGGCAGCAGUAAGGAAUAUUGAUCAAUGGACGCAAGUCGGACCCAGCCAUGCCGCGUGAAGGAUGCAGGUCCUCUGGAUUUUAAACUUCUUUUAUAUGGGACGAAACCCGGGCAUUCCUGCCCGAUUGACGGUACCAUAGGAAUAAGCACCGGCUAACUCCGUGCCAGCAGCCGCGGUAA
rnacentral:rRNA from 1 species